CCCUUAGAGUUUGAUCCUGGCUCAGAACGAACGUUGGCGGCGUGGAUUAGGCAUGCAAGUCGCGCGAAUCCCCGCAAGGGGGAAGCGGCGUAAGGGGCAGUAAGGCGUGGGUAACCCACCCCGGGGCCCGGGAUAGCCCGUCGAGAGACGGGGUAAUACCGGGCGACACAGCGUGCCGGCAUCGGCGCGCUGUCAAAGGUCCGCCGCCCCGGGCGGGGCCCACGUGAUAUUAGCUAGUUGGUGGGGUGACGGCCCACCAAGGCGACGAUGUCUAGCGGGUGUGAGAGCACGACCCGCGCCACUGGCACUGAGACACUGGCCAGACACCUACGGGUGGCUGCAGUCGAGGAUCUUCGGCAAUGGGGGCAACCCUGACCGAGCGACGCCGCGUGGGCGACGAAGGCCUUCGGGUUGUAAAGCCCUGUCGAGGGGGAGAAACGCCCGCAAGGGCUUGAUCUAUCCCUGGAGGAAGCACGGGCUAAGUUCGUGCCAGCAGCCGCGGUAAGACGAACCGUGCGAACGUUGUUCGGAAUCACUGGGCUUAAAGGGCGCGUAGGCGGGCUGCCAAGUCCGGGGUGAAAUCCUCCCGCUCAACGGGAGAACGGCCCCGGGUACUGGCGGCCUCGAGGCGGGUAGGGGCGUGCGGAACACUGGGUGGAGCGGUGAAAUGCGUUGAUAUCCAGUGGAACUCCGGUGGCGAAGGCGGCACGCUGGACCCGAUCUGACGCUGAGGCGCGAAAGCCAGGGGAGCGAACGGGAUUAGAUACCCCGGUAGUCCUGGCCCUAAACGUUGGGGACUAGUAGU
rnacentral:rRNA from 1 species